GGUGUGCGAGGGCGGGGGCGCAGGGCGCGGCGCCCCCUCACCUGGAGCAGAGGCCCGAGGGCGAGCGUGGGCUGCAGAGGCCCAUCGUGGGGAACCCCGAACGGAGUGAGAAUGUGAGGCUCUUUUCCUGACCUUGAGCUCUGUGAGAGGAAAGGUUGACUGAUAUGGUUCCAUCCUCGCCUCUCCCUAUGGAGCAAUACAAGUGUGACAGUUCAUCAGACCAAAUCUCCUUAAGAGUCACGCCCCUUGAGAGUUUCACCCCCCAAAGAUGUUCCGCUUAAAAGAAAAAGAAAAAUAGGGCGGCCGGGUG